GAUUUCUUCGGUAAAGAGCGGCGGACGGGUGAGUAACGCGUGGGUAACCUACCCUGUACACACGGAUAACAUACCGAAAGGUAUGCUAAUACGGGAUAAUAUAUUUGGGAGGCAUCUCCUGAAUAUCAAAGGUGAGCCAGUACAGGAUGGACCCGCGUCUGAUUAGCUAGUUGGUAAGGUAACGGCUUACCAAGGCGACGAUCAGUAGCCGACCUGAGAGGGUGAUCGGCCACAUUGGAACUGAGACACGGUCCAAACUCCUACGGGAGGCAGCAGUGGGGAAUAUUGCACAAUGGGCGAAAGCCUGAUGCAGCAACGCCGCGUGAGUGAUGAAGGCCUUCGGGUCGUAAAACUCUGUCCUCAAGGAAGAUAAUGACGGUACUUGAGGAGGAAGCCCCGGCUAACUACGUGCCAGCAGCCGCGGUAAUACGUAGGGGGCUAGCGUUAUCCGGAUUUACUGGGCGUAAAGGGUGCGUAGGCGGUCUUUCAAGUCAGGAGUGAAAGGCUACGGCUCAACCGUAGUAAGCUCUUGAAACUGGGAG
rnacentral:rRNA from 1 species